AUUCCAGCUCCAAUAGCGUAUAUUAAAGUUGAUGCGGUUAAAAAGCUCGUAGUUGGAGUUCUGCCAGGUGACGCUCGUCCGCCCAAGUGGUGUGUACAGGGCGUGCAUCUGGCCCUUUCAAGGGGAACGUGUCUGCUCUUUAUUGAGUGGUGCGAGAUCCCUGACUUUUACUUUGAGGAAAUCAGAGUGUUUAAAGCAGGCUUAUGCCGUUGAAUACAUUAGCAUGGAAUAAUAAGAUAGGACUUUGGCGUCUAUUUUAUUGGUUUGCACACCAAGGUAAUGAUUAAUAGGGAUAGUUGGGGGUAUUCGUAUUUAAUUGUCAGAGGUGAAAUUCUUGGAUUUAUGAAAGACGAACUACUGCGAAAGCACUUACCAAGGAUGUUUUCAUUG
rnacentral:rRNA from 1 species